GGAGGGAUCAUUACAAGUGACCCCGGGCUUCGGCCUGGUUAUUCAUAACCCUUUGUUGUCCGACUCUGUUGCCUCCGGGGCGACCCUGCCUUCGGGCGGGGGCUCCGGGUGGACACUUCAAACUCUUGCGUAACUUUGCAGUCUGAGUAAACUUAAUUAAUAAAUUAAAACUUUUAACAACGGAUCUCUUGGUUCUGGCAUCGAUGAAGAACGCAGCGAAAUGCGAUAAGUAAUGUGAAUUGCAGAAUUCAGUGAAUCAUCGAAUCUUUGAACGCACAUUGCGCCCCCUGGUAUUCCGGGGGGCAUGCCUGUUCGAGCGUCAUUUCACCACUCAAGCCUCGCUUGGUAUUGGGCAACGCGGUCCGCCGCGUGCCUCAAAUCGUCCGGCUGGGUCUUCUGUCCCCUAAGCGUUGUGGAAACUAUUCGCUAAAGGGUGUUCGGGAGGCUACGCCGUAAAACAACCCCAUUUCUAAGGUUGACCUCGGAUCAGGUAGGGAUACCCGCUGAACUUAAGCAU
rnacentral:rRNA from 1 species